rnacentral:rRNA from 1 species
UACAGAGGUCUCGAGCGUUAGUCGGAAGUCACUGGGCUUAAAGCGUACGUAGGCGGAUAUGCAGGCGUCGUGUGAAAUCCCUUGGCUCGACCAAGGAACUGCACGGCGAACCGCAUGUCUUGAGAUCGGUAGGGGCGGUCGGAACGAUAGGUGGAGUGGUGAAAAUGCGUUGAUAUCUAUCGGAACGCCCGAAGGUGAAAAGCAGGCCGCUGGGCCGAUUCUGACGCUGGAGGUACGAAAGCGUGGGGAGCGAACGGG